UACAGAGGGUGCAAGCGUUGUUCGGAAUUAUUGGGCGUAAAGCGCGUGUAGGCGGCUUUGCAAGUCGGGUGUGAAAGCCCUCAGCUUAACUGAGGAAGUGCGCCCGAAACUGCAGAGCUUGAGUACCGGAGAGGAUGGCGGAAUUCCCCAAGUAGAGGUGAAAUUCGUAGAUAUGGGGAGGAACACCGGUGGCGAAGGCGGCCAUCUGGACGGAUACUGACGCUGAGAUGCGAAAGCGUGGGUAGCAAACAGG
rnacentral:rRNA from 1 species